rnacentral:pre_miRNA from 1 species
UCCUAUGGAUGAGCAAAGAAAGUGGUUUCUUGAAGCUACUCCUGGUGAAGAUGCUGUGAA